rnacentral:lncRNA from 1 species
ACUCAUCAAAACUCAAUAUCAUGCACUGUAAAAUUCCGAAAUAAAAUUCAUGGCUGCAAUAAUUUUCAACAUAAUAACUUGCAUACUGAACUUGAACUUUCUGAUAAUAACUUCAACUAUUGCAGCAAAAUUCAACAUAAAUUUCGGAAUAUAAACAGUUUAUACUCAUCCCCUUGAAAACUUUUAAAAUAACUUUUACCUUGAAGUCGGAGCGCGUAGUGGUCGAAUGGCUUCGUCACAAAUGACUUGAAAAUAUUUUAAGAAAAACAUUUUAUUUUGCAGAGUCUACAGGAAAGUAGACCUGCUCUGAUACCAUGCUGUAACACCCUAAUCUAAUUAAAGUGUUAAAUAUGAAUUUAAAUAAUUUUUGACAGCGAAAAUAUCAUAAAAUAAAGAUUUGGAUUUAUUUUCAAAUAAAUAAAUUUUUAAAUAAAAUAUUUGAAAUAACUUAAAAAGAAGGCCAGCCAUGAUAGGAAGCUAAUAUGAUAACACUAAACUCGAUAAGUUACACCAAAAUCUCAAGAGUAGUUUGAGACUUCGAAAACUGUACAAAGCAAAAGGUUAGGUGUAACUACAACAUUAUAUUUUCCAAAAAUAUUUACUUGACGCGCUCAUUCGAUCCUCUACGCGUCUCCAACCUUAGUUACCUGAAAAUGUUAAAUAUGGGAUGAGCAUAUGAAAUAUACUCAGUGUGGGAACAUGCAAUAAUUGUCCACGUUAAUAAAAUGGUCAACACAUAAGCACUGCACUGUAAUACUGAUAACUGAAAUUCGCACGGUGGCAUACCAAGGACUUUAAAGUCCUGGACCCAUUGAGUGGGCCCCUGGCGAAUAGGUUGCAACCCUAACUGUAACAUGAAAUCGCAUUGUGGCAUACCAAGGACGGUGAAGUCCUGGACCCAUUGAGCGGGCCCCUAGCGAUAUAACUGAAUUUACAACACAUAUGGCAAACACAUAAUAUUAAAAUGGACAAAAAUUACCACGGCAUGUACUGAAUAAAUCCCACACCUGUAACUUGAACUUGAAAAUUACUGCUAGAAAUGUAAAGUUCACGUUCCUAGUCGCGCCGCACCUAGUCAGAUAAAUUCAAAUAGUAACAUAAGGGCCUAAUUGAACUUUACAAAAUACCUUAAUAUAACUAAACUUGAGAAAACUAAUUUAUAAAAGUCUUUUCAAUAAAAUUUGAACUGAAAAAAAAUGAUUAAUUAAAUAAAUUAUAAUUGCUACUUAGAAGAGUAAUUAAAAUAAAAACCCAAUUGAUUAUUAUAAUUAAGGCCCAACCACUUAAUAAACUGAGCCCAAUUAAUUAAAACUAACCUAAGCCCAAGCCCCAAGCCCACUAUCAACCUCUAAUUUAAACUCACACCCAACUCCACUCCACACAUUCACACGCAGCUCACUCCCUCUCUCCCUUCCUCCCUCGGCCUUCUUCCUCUCGGCCUCUUGCCGCCGCACCUCCGGACGGCAGCGCCGUCAGCGCAGACCGGCGGCUCCGCCGCCUCUCCCUCUUCUUCCUAUCUCCCUCUUCCCUCACUCUCACUCCCUCUGUCCCUCUCCUCACCGCGUCUCCCCCUUCUCCGGCGACCCUCGCCGUCUGCCAGCACCUCCUCCUGGCCGUCAGCAGCGGCACCCUUGUCGCCGCCGUGUCGACAGCACAAGCCGGUCAGGCCGCCUUCUCCCUCUUCCUGAAAAGAGACGCACAGCCGAGACCAUAGCGCCGCCGCCCUGCUCCUUCCGCCACCACCCCCUGCUUCCUUCCGCCGGCCGCCAUGGCGCGCAGCGCCGGCGGUACUGCUGCUCAACCACCCCUCCCCCUGUUCUAAGCCACAACCCCCUUUCCAGUUCAUUCUUUCUAUUUUCCUUUUCUUCUUGUAAAGCAGUGAAUAUGCAUGUUUGAAUUAGAAAAAAAAUAAGAACUUUUGUGGGUGUUUGGUUUUGUGCAGAGAUGAACAACAGUAAAUGAAAUAACUUUGUAAAAUCAAUUAAAAUUUACCAGCUUGGAUUCUGUAAUGAGAGAUGGAAAUGGGUUUGUAUGCUGUAGGCGAAACAGACGAGGAAAAGGCGAAUUGGGGGACGAUGAUUUGAGGUUAAAUAGAGCUGCAAGAUUAAGUUUUUACCACAAAAAUGAAACGUGAGCUGCUUGUUCACGUAAGAAAAUUUGUGGAUGAUAAAGGAACCAAAAUUGUGGUUGAGAAAACUGGACGUGCUCCCCAAG